CACGUUGAGAGAGUUUCAGAUCCAAACUCAGUUACUCUUUCUUUCUCCAACACUCUGCUUCCUUCUUUUCAUCGUUUCUUUCUCCCCCAUUUCAAAUACAAACAAACACCACAAGUUCAUGGUCAAAACAACAAAUCUGGAUAUAGUGAGGAGAAUGCGACGAGGACUUUGCUGGUGUGUGGUGGUGAUCGGCCACGAGUUGUUUGCAUCGAAAGUAAGCAUUGGAUAUGUAGUUGUGUGGAUGAUGGUGACCACAGAUCUGUAGCAUGUCACCAGUUGCGCUUCCGAUUCAUCAGAGGGAGCGAACUUGAUUUCUUCCUUUUUUCUGCAAGCAAAAAAACUGAAAAAACAACAACAAGAAUGAAAGAAAAACACAAUUAA